GACGAACGCUGGCGGUGUGCUUCACACAUGCAAGUCGAACGAGGUAGCAAUACCUAGUGGCGGACGGGUGAGUAACGCGUGGGAAUCUGCCUUUAGAUGGGGGGAUAACGGGUCGAAAGACUCGCUAAUACCGCAUAUGACGAAAGUUGAAAGGAGUAAUCCGUCUAAAGAUGAGCCCGCGUCCGAUUAGCUAGUUGGGUAGAGUAAAAGCCUACCAAGGCGACGAUCGGUAGCUGGUCUGAGAGGAUGAUCAGCCACAAUGGGAACUAGAGACACGGCCCAUACUCCUACGGAGGCAGCAGUGGGGAAUUUUACGCAAUGGGCGAAAGCCUGACGUAGCGACACCGCGUGAGCGAAGAAGCCCCUUGGGGUGUAAAGCUCUGUCAGCUGGAACGAAAAAAAAUGACGGUACCAGCAGAGGAAGCAAUUCGGCUAAACUACGUGCCAGCAGCCGCGGU
rnacentral:rRNA from 1 species